ACGAUCCAACCAUCAAUCUUGUUUGUAUAUGCUUCGAGAUCGCAUACGCCAAAAAUCACAAAAAACAAACAUUCAGAGAUCAAGUAAUGAGACAAAACUUUUCGACGGUUAUAAAACAAAAAAUCACGAUUUAACGGUUAUUUUAACUUCGAUUUUGAUAAUUUUUUACAACUACACUUGUUGACCCUAUACAAAUACAAUGAAUGAAUUCGAUCGUCAAUUUAAAAUAUUUACACAAGUGGAUACCACAAAAUCUUAUUUUAUACUUAAUAAAAGUAUAAAUAAAGUGUUAGUGAAUCUAUCGUUUUGAUGGGAUACAAAUUCUAUGAAACUAAUUUCAACGAUCAAACCGUCAAACUUGUUUGUAUAUGCUUCGAGAUCGCAUACACCAAAAAUCACAAAAAACAAACAUUUAGAGAUCAAGUAAUGAGACGAAACUUUUCGACAGUUAUAAAACAAAAAAUCACUAUUUAACGGUUAUUUUAACUUCGAUUUUGAUUAUUUUUUACAAGUACACUUUUUGACCCUAUACGAAUACAAUGAAUGAAUUCGAUCGUCAAUUUAAAAUAUUUACACAAGUGGAUACCACAAAAUCUUAUGUUAUACUUGAUGAAAGUAUAAAUAAACUCUAAGUGUUAGUGAAUCUAUCGUUUUGAUGGGAUACGAAUUCUAUGAAACUAAUUUCAAUGAUCAAACCGUCAAACUUGUUUGUAUAUGCUUCGAGAUCGUAUACGCCAAAAAUCACAAAAAACAAACAUUCAGAGAUCAAGUAAUGAGACAAAACUUUUCGACGGUUAUAAAACAAAAAAUCACGAUUUAACGGUUAUUUUAAUUCCGAUUUUGAUGAUUUUUUACAACUACAUUUGUUGACCUUAUACGAAUACAAUGAAUGAAUUCGAUCGUCAAUUUAAAAUAUUUACACAAGUGGAUACCACUAAAUCUUAUGUUAUACUUAAUGAAAGUAUAAAUAAACUAUAAGUGUUAGUGAAUCUAUCGUUUUGAUGGGAUACGAAUUCUAUGAAACUAAUUUCAACGAUCCAACCGUCAAACUUAUUUGUAUAUGCUUCGAGAUCGCAUACACCAAAAAUCACAAAAAACAAACAUUCAGAGAUCAAGUAAUGAGACAAAGUUUUUCGACGGUUAUAAAACAAAAAAUCACGAUUUAACGGUUAUUUUAACUCCGAUUUUGAUGAUUUUUUACAACUACACUUGUUGACCCUAUACGAAUACAAUGAAUGAAUUCGAUCGUCAAUUUAAAAUAUUUACACAAGUGGAUACCACAAAAUCUUAUUUUAUACUUAAUGAAAGUAUAAAUAAACUCUAAGUGUUAGUGAAUCUAUCGUUUUGAUGGGAUACAAAUUCUAUGAAACUAAUUUCAACGAUCAAACCGUGAAACUUGUUUGUAUAUUCUUCGAGAUCGCAUACGCCAAAAAUCACAAAAAACAAACAUUCAGAGAUCAAGUAAUGAGACAAAACGUUUCGACGGUUAUAAAACAAAAAAUCACGAUUUAACGGUUAUUUUAACUUCGAUUUUGAUGAUUUUUUACAAGUACACUUUUUGACCCUAUACGAAUACAAUGAAUGAAUUCGAUCGUCAAUUUAAAAUAUUUACACAAGUGAAUACCACAAAAUCUUAUGUUAUACUUAAUGAAAGUAUAAAUAAAGUCUAAGUAUCUAUCGUUUGGAUGGGAUACGAAUUCUAUGAAACUAAUUUUAAUAAUCCAACCGUCAAUCUUGUUUGUAUAUGCUUCGAGAUCGCAUAUGCCAAAAAUCACAAAAAACAAACAUUCAGAGAUCAAGUAAUGAGACAAAUAUUUUCAACGGUUAUAAAACAAAAAAUCACGAUUUAACGGUAAUUUUAACUCCGAUUUUGAUAAUUUUUUACAAACUAAACUUGUUGACCCUAUACGAAUACAAUGAAUGAAUUCGAUCGUCAAUUUAAAAAUAUUUACACAAGUGGAUACCACAAAAUCUUAUUUUUACUAAUUAAUGAAACUAUAAAUAAACUCUAAGUGUUAGUGAAUCUAUCGUUUUGAUGGGAUACAAAUUCUAUGAAACUAAUUUUCAACGAUCAAACCGUCAAACUUGUUUGUAAAUAUGCUUCGAGAUCGCAUAUGCCAAAAAUCAAAAAAAAACAAACAUUCAGAGAUCAAGUAAUGAGACAAAAACGUUUCGACGGUUAUAAAACAAAAAAUCACGAUUUAACGGUUAUUAUUUAACUUCGAUUUUGAUGAUUUUUUACAAGUACACUUUUUGACCCUAUACGAAUACAAUGAAUGAAUUCGAUCGUCAAUUAA
rnacentral:lncRNA from 1 species